GGAGAACCCGACCAGAACUGCAGGCGGUAGGUGUGCAUUUUUUCUUCUUCUUCUGUGUUUUUUUUUUUUUUUUAAUGAAAACAAUUAUGUAUAUAGUUUGAUAACAUUGCUUCUACGUUUCUUUUUAUUAAUGGUAUUUUUGGAGCCAUGUGUUGGCUCUUUUCUAGUGUUUCCUUUUAAACAUAUUUUUAAUGGGCUUCUGGAAUAAGUUUGUAGAAGUUCCUGACCCAAAGUGUCCUGAGGACAUUCCUGUUGUGUUGUUGUUUUUUUUUUCUCCCUAAGUUCAACAGUAAGAUGGUGCUUUCCAUAGGCAAACCAAUUUUCAGCAGGGAUGAAUGUAUCCCUGCAGGCCGUGCCUAGGGACCAGGUGCCAGUGACCUCUCCCAGACGAAAUGAUAUCUCUGGAACUCUACACCUAGAGAAUGUAUAAGGGCUAUGUGACAGGCCAGCUGAUUAAAAAUGGUCUCUCCUGUUCUUAAGUGGUCUGUCAUAACAAAACGAGUCUGGCAAGAGUCACUGUGUCCUCUUCAGUAGCAUUCUACAGCCUAAAAUCUCCCUGACUCAGCCAAGAAGCUCUGAACCAGCAAUUAAAGACACUUUCUUGAGAACUGCACGCUCCUGGUAGUUACCUACUACAUUAUUGCUAAUGUUUUCCCCUCUAAACCCAGCAGUUUACUUCCUCUUGAGCUUGUCUUUGGGCUUUGCUUCAUGCUGAGCAUACUCAAUGGGAUGAUGCUCUGCUGGACGAGGGCCACCAUUUCUUCUACACGUUUUGUUUCUCCUUUUGCCAUGUAUUGCUUGCAGUUGUUCACGGCCCAGGCAAAAGGGGUAUUUUCUCUUCUGCAUAUUUUAGAAACCCUCAAUUUGCCGCAUUUUGAUCAUUCUUCCACUCGCUUUUAUUUAUUUAUCCUUCCUGCCUUCUUGUAGCCCUUUGUUGUCAAAACAGAACAUGAAUUAAGACUAUAGAUGUUAGUUUUGGGAGUUGACUGUAAAGCUUCUACUGUUUAAAACGCUAAGUGGGAAGGCCAGUUUAGCUUUAUAGUUUUCCUAUGAUUGUUUGCUUGUUGAAGUUAUCAAAUAAAUGCUUUUUAUCAAACAGCAAGAAUUAGUCAGGAUAUUGGAGGUUUUUUUGGUUUUGUUUUGUUUUUGUUUUUUUGGUCAUUUGCUUAAGAAAAUCCUGCUAGACUCAAGUUUAGUAGGUUAAAUGUUGGUGAUCGGUGUGAGAGGAUCUUGUAUUCUUGCUUUCUCUUGGCUGUGUUUGCCAAUCCAUUGUUCCCAGCAGGGGUUUGCUGGGAGCGUGAAAUUCCAUUUUGUGAUAAUUCCAUUGUUUUCUCACAAUAUUGUUUCAAAAUAUUUCUUCAGUAAAUCUCCCGUUCUGCUCUCCUGCAAAGAUUUGCUUUUAGCCUGAUGUUGCAUGCAAGCGACAGAGCCACAGACCGAGCAGCUUCACCCUUCUGGAGAGUCUUGUAGAGAAAGCACGCCAUCCCUUGGUGCUCACAUCUGGAACGCUCACAUCAUUGGCACUGCACCCAAUUCUCACCUUCGUGCAACUCAGGCACCACAUUGUUUGAUGGUGGUCAGACGUGAGCUCACUAAUUCCUGCAGGAGGAUGAUUUCUGAAGCAAUUAGUUGUGACGUAAGUGGUUUCCUUGGAUUGUAGAGAGAGAUCUUUAGUUUUUCUUUGUUGGCAUAGAACACACAGUAUUUAAUACAGCCGUAGUGAUGAGAUAUGGGUAAACACUGGCAGGGCAUUGCUUCUGUGCGUCUCUUGAAUGCUGUUUGAUGGAGACAUCUGAGUCUGUAUUUGCUUUUUACACUGCUUAUACUGAACUUUUAUUAAUAUUAAGUAUAGAACGCUAUUUGACUUUCACUGCUGUAAGUGCUGCAACACAAUUUUGUAUUGGUGGUAGUUAUUGUUGUUAUACUGCUGACUCUAAGGGGUUAUUUCAACUCCUUUUGGUGCAGCUUGGAAUUUUUAGGCCUUUAAGAAAAUUCCACACUAAAUAAUUGAUCUGAGGGAGAGAACAAAGGGCUGUUCUUUCCCACUAUCUUUUCAUCCUUAGCGGAAUCUUCUUCAGCCAGAACAAGCAUUUGCUUUUCCUUUUCUACUUUUUCCUUGGUGAUUUGAGAGCUUCGAUUUGUUUUUGUCUUUAAACCAUACGUAUUCCAGGACAAUUUGCGUUUGUUAUGUAUGAUGUACAUACUUUCUUUUCCCUUUUAUAAAAAUACCUGUUUACUUAUGCAUAGUUUGUCUCUUUUUUUUUAAUGCCAGCUGAUAAACCAUGAAUUCUUUGACCCCUUUUCUCACUUGGGGAUGGUUUUCAGAUCAACAUUGUAAGGAAACCAUGCCAUCUGCUGUUAGUUGGUCACCCCGCUGACUGAGAAUGAGGUGGCACAUCUCAACCCAUUUGGUAGAUGGACAGAAGUCCCAAACAUACUGUUAUCACCUCACCGGCCUCAUGGAAAUAGCUGACUAUAGGACAGAGUCCGACUUGGUGCCUGCGCUAAGGGAAAGGCAGCAACAUCAGUGGAGCUGUAUUACUGGAGGCUGGAGAUCACGAAUCCUCCCGCUGCCUGACCAGCCUUAUCCUAAAAUCUGAAAUAACUUAGCCACAAAACACAAAGCUACUUGAGUUGUGACACUGAGACGAAUUUAACAAACAG
ensembl:lncRNA